rnacentral:misc_RNA from 1 species
GAUGAAGAACGUAGCGAAAUGCGAUAAGUAAUGUGAAUUGCAGAAUUCAGUGAAUCAUCGAAUCUUUGAACGCACAUUGCGCCCCCUGGUAUUCCGGGGGGCAUGCCUGUUCGAGCGUCAUUACAACCCUCAAGCUCUGCUUGGUGUUGGGCCCCGCCGCCCCGGCGGGCCCUAAAAUCAGUGGCGGUGCCGUCCGGCUCCGAGCGUAGUAAUUCUUCUCGCUCUGGAGGUCCGGGUGUGUGCUCGCCAGCAACCCCCAAUUUUUUUCAGGUUGACCUCGGAUCAGGUAGGGAUACCCGCUGAACUUAAGCAUAUCAAUAAGCGGGGA